rnacentral:rRNA from 1 species
CCGCACGAGCGCACCCCUGUCUUCAGUUGCCAUCGGGUGAUGCGGGGCACUCUGGAAAGACUGCCCAGGAAUAACGGGAAGGAAGGUGGGGAUGACGUCAAGUUCAGCAUGGCCUUUAUGCCUGGGGCUACACACGUGCUACAAUGGCCGGUACAAAGGGUUGCAAUCCCGCAAGGGGGAGCCAAUCCCAAAAAACCGGCCUCAGUUCAGAUUGUGGUCUGCAACCCGACCACAUGAAGGUGGAAUCGCUAGUAAUCGCGGAUCAGCACGCCGCGGUGAAUACGUUCCCGGGCCUUGUACACACCGCCCGUCACACCACGAAAGUCAGCUGUACCUGACGUCGCUGAAGCUAACCCGCAAGGGAGGCAGGUGCCCACGGUAUGGUUGGAGAUUGGGGUGAAGUCGUAACAAGGUAACCGUAGGGAAACCUGCGGCUGGAUCACCUCCUUU